rnacentral:tRNA from 1 species
GUUUCCAAAGUGUAGUGGUCAUCAUGUCUGCUUUACAGGCAGAAAGUCCUUGGUUCAAUCCCCAGUGGAGCCA